CGCCAUCUGGUCCCCAACUGACUUGGCAAGAAAAGCGCAGCAGCGGCCUUGUUGGCCUUUAAUGCGACCAACCGCUGUUGGCUCGCAGAUGAAAACGAAUUGAAAGAGGAGCCAAAUUUUACAACUGUCGGUAAACCUGUCGAUGAUCAGCAUUGAAACUUCUGUGACUCCUUUCUUCCCAUUUGUCACCAUUUGUCAUAUUUCUGCACCCCACGUAUUGGGGACGACGCUGACCAGAUGGAAGUCAGGAGGCAGCCGUGGAGCAGGCCCAGCAGAGUCAACCAGGACUGUCUCGGAAAUGAUGGCACCCCACUUGGUCCCUACGCCACCAUCAAGAGCAGGGUGCACGCCGCCUUUGCUUACCUGGGAGCGGAGGGCUGAGGGAACACUGAGGAAGAGGAAGUGGAAAGGGAGUAAGAGCUGGAAGUGAGAUUGAAAGCUGGGAAAUGCUGUCUUUUGGAUGCAACACCACCACUGCUGUCUUUUGGAUGCAACACCACCACUGAACUCAUGACAGCAGCUCCGGUCACCUGCACACAAUCAAGCCAGUUAAAACUCCAGUACAUAUGGGGAGCUCCUAGAGGUCCUGGUUGCUGGGAGAGGAGGAGUCACUUUAAUCUGGAGAUUUGGCUAGUGUUGCCCAGGCUCCAGCAGAAGGCUCGGUGGCCACAUGCUCUUAUUAGACUCAGUGGGUUGCCUUUUUAAAAGUCAUGAGAUUGGGAGGAAGAUGUGUUGGGAAGGCCAGAAGAAACUGGGGAGGGGCAGCAGCACGCGUGGCAUUUUUUAAUGAACAAAUAAAAACUAUAAUUAAAAAGAAUCCCUCAAGCUUGAAA